ACAGGUUUACCUGUGUGACUGCGUACCUUUUGUAUAAUGGGUCAGCGACUUAUAUUCUGUAGCAAGGUUAACCGUAUAGGGGAGCCGAAGGGAAACCGAGUCUUAACCGGGCGUUAAGUUGCAGGGUAUAGACCCGAAACCCGGUGAUCUAGCCAUGGGCAGGUUGAAGGUUGGGUAACACUAACUGGAGGACCGAACCGACUAAUGUUGAAAAAUUAGCGGAUGACCUGUGGCUGGGGGUGAAAGGCCAAUCAAACCGGGAGAUAGCUGGUUCUCCCCGAAAGCUAUUUAGGUAGCGCCUCGUGAAUUCAUCUCCGGGGGUAGAGCACUGUUUCGGCUAGGGGGCCAUCCCGGCUUACCAACCCGAUGCAAACUGCGAAUACCGGAGAAUGUUAUCACGGGAGACACACGGCGGGUGCUAACGUCCGUCGUGAAGAGGGAAACAACCCAGACCGCCAGCUAAGGUCCCAAAGUCAUGGUUAAGUGGGAAACGAUGUGGGAAGGCCCAGACAGCCAGGAUGUUGGCUUAGAAGCAGCCAUCAUUUAAAGAAAGCGUAAUAGCUCACUGGUCGAGUCGGCCUGCGCGGAAGAUGUAACGGGGCUAAACCAU
rnacentral:rRNA from 1 species